rnacentral:rRNA from 1 species
CCUACGGGAGGCAGCAGUGAGGAAUAUUGGUCAAUGGGCGGGAGCCUGAACCAGCCAAGCCGCGUGAGGGAAGAAGGUACAGCGUAUCGUAAACCUCUUUUGUCAGGGAACAAAGGCUGGGACUAGUCCCCUGAUGAGGGUACCUGAAGAACAAGCAUCGGCUAACUCCGUGCCAGCAGCCGCGGUAAUACGGAGGAUGCGAGCGUUAUCCGGAUUUAUUGGGUUUAAAGGGUGCGCAGGGGGCCGGUUAAGUCAGCGGUAAAAGCCCGGGGCUCAACCCCGGCGAGCCGUUGAAACUGGCGGGCUGGAGUUGGGGAGAAGUACGCGGAAUGCGCGGUGUAGCGGUGAAAUGCUUAGAUAUCGCGCAGAACCCCGAUUGCGAAGGCAGCGUACCGGAUCCAAACUGACGCUGAGGCACGAAAGCGUGGGUAUCGAACAGGAUUAGAUACCCUAGUAGUC